AGAAGGAAAUGGCAACCCGCUUCAGUACUCUUGCCUGGAGAAUCCCAUGGACAGAGGAGUCUUUGGGGCUAUACUGUCCACGGGGUCAAAAGGAGACUGAGCAACUUUCAGUUUCUUACAGGGAGGUACAUCCUUGGGAGGAGAGGAUGAGGCCACGUGUGUUUUCUGAUUAUUUGCAUGCCAACUUUCUGGGUCAGGAAGGUAUCCUGUCAACACUUCCCUGGACAUAUAUUCUGUACCACAUUCUCUAAGCUUAUGAUUACUUCUAAUCACAAAGGAGGUAUUGGAAUCUCUGUUUUACGUGUGAAGAAACUAAAGUUUUGAGAGACUGAAUCUUUCCCCCAAGUUUCCAAAGUGACUUUGGGUUUUUUUGAUUAAUUCUUCCUUGGCCAUGACUCAAGAAACGACUGGAAUCCUGUAAGCGGCAAAGACAGUGGCAGCUUGAUCUUUGCUGGACCGGAUCCUGUUACCUGGGUUAGAGGGAGCCAGGGCACAGCCAGCAGAUGAGAAGACAUGAUCCGGGCGUUAGUGAGGGCUGGGUUCAGACGCCUCCGCUGGGCCUUGGGUGGGUCAGGAGAAGGAGAGGCGAGCGCUUGCCCAGUGCCCUCAGCCGGGUGGUGUUCUGGCCUUGUGUGCUCUUUUUCCUCCUGUCCCCGUGGUUAACACUCAGGGCUACCCCGCAAGGCAGGUUUCUGCAGAGGCCAGGUCGGCCCGGGCCGCGCGCGGGCCCCGGACGGGACCCUGCUUGUGCGAAGGAGCAGACGCGCGCCCUCAUCCAGGCCCGGGGCCUGGGCCUGGCGCUGGGAGGGGAGGUCAGCACUGCAGCUGCCCCAGCCCUGUGGCCGGGCUGCUCACGGGGCUCGGGCGGGGCUGGAGACGGCCUCAGGUCCCGAAGCAGGAGGGCCCCGGACGAGGGCCUGCAGGAAACACUGUCUACUCCCUCGGCUUCACCCAGGCAGGUGCGGCAGCCCCUUCCUCCUGGGAGUCUCAGCGGCCCUUCCAUGCUGCCUCUUCUGCCCCUGCUGGAUCCUCCAGGAAGAGGAGACGCGGACGAGGCUCUGGGUGGGAACGGCGCCGCCCGUUUCUCCCAGCUUUUUAAGUCCUUAGGGGGUCAGCUGAAUCUUGGCAGCUGCCAAAGCUCUGUCUGGAGCUGGAUUUCUGUGCCGGCGAUGCAGGGGGCUGCCUCCUCUUACAGGCUAGGACAGGGGCUCCCGGGGGCUCAGCACGCCUCAGUCUAGCUAGUCUCUGCUAGGUGAUAUAUUACCUUGGCCAGCCUGGAAACAGCCCAGGGACGGGGGGGUGUUAGCCAUUGUCUCCACCUGGUCUGGGCUAGACAGGGCCACACCAUGGACCUGUUCACCCCCAGGGCCCACAGAGGCUGAAGAGAGGGAGAGAGGCUCGCAGGAAAGCUUUGUUUCAAGCCUGUGGCCAGCCCAGCUCCCAGCUCUGAGUAAACAGCAGAGAUAGGAUCGGGCGUAGCCAGGAAGGGUGGCAGGGUGCGGCCUGGGAGAAGAAUGGCAGGAUGUGGCACUGGGCACCGUGCUGGGCACCCACGCCUCGGGCCAUUGUUCAGGGCUGCCCGGGGCUCUCAACUCUCAGGGGCCCUGAAAGGAAGUGAUGUUCCUCUGGGACCCGUUCCCCUGGCCCUGCCCCUCCCGGCCACAUGCUUCCUCCCUGGCAGUGCCCGCUGCACCACCCACACAGGGCCAGCCUGGGGGCGGGGGGUCUCAGUAGAGGGUCAGGUGUGUGCCCAGCAGGGAAGUGUCGUCACUGGCCCUCCUAGGAGGGUCUGCCUUCCUGUAGCCCUCGGUCUGAGUCACCCGUCAUGCUCCGAUGACUGGAAUUUAUGUCUAUCUUUAUCUGUAUCUAGAUGUGGGGAGGGGCGGGCUGUUGUUAUGGAGGGAGGAAGGUCUGAGAGUAAAAAGUCCUUUGAUUCCAAUCUGGCUGGGCUGCUUGUUGUCUGAUUGGGAGAGGAAGUGGCUGGUGAUUUGUUUGGGGGUAGAAAGGGGCUUAGUUUGUGUGCACCUUGGGUGGGAGGGGGUCAGAGGGGCUGGAAAAGGGUUGACUGUAGGCAGGAGAAAGAGGAGCUUAGCCCCUGGAGUCUGCCUGGUUGCAGACUCCAGAACUGGGCCCUGUGCCCUCAUCCCUCUGUGGGGGGCAGGCGUCCGCUGCCUUGUCCUGGGCGCUGGAUUUGGAGUCAGCUCAGAGACUCAAGACUCUGCGGCAUCCAGGGUGGGGCUGGCCUGAGCCCUCUCCCCCUAGGGGCCUUCACUUCUCAAGAUGCUCAGGUGAGGUUAAACCCAGGAGAAGGCGGCGGAGGGCCUGUGGGGUAGGUUCCCCGGAAGGGAAGGGAAGGCAGAGCAGGAAUGCUGCUCCGUGCCCCAGCUGGUUGAAGGUCCUCUGACUCUAUUCCUAAAUCAGUAUGCCCAAACAAGCCAGGUGAACCUGACCUUUCUGGGCCUCAGUUUCUCCAUUUAUAAAAUAUGAGUAAGACUGGGCGAGAGGGAGGAGAUUGGGAAUAUGGGAGCGCUUCUACCCGAGUGAGAGCUCCACCAGGGUGGCCUCUGACCAGGACCUGGGUGGGAACUGGGGGAGGCCAGUAAUCCACAUCUCCUGAGCACCAGAAUAGUCUGACUUCUGGGCCUCUGGGGAGAGGGGAGGCUGUGACUGCUGACCUUAAAACCUCCUGAAAAAUCAUGUAUAUAUGAUUGAAGCAUGGAGCAUGCUUUGUAGGGAAGGGNNNNNNNNNNNNNNNNNNNNNNNNNNNNNNNNNNNNNNNNNNNNNNNNNNNNNNNNNNNNNNNNNNNNNNNACGUUUGGAAAAUGUUUCUUACUGUCUCAAGGUGGGAACAAAAGGAAAUGGGCUUGCCUUGCUACUGGGGGAUUGGGGUCAUUCACAGGAAGAGCUUCGAUGCAAGAAAGAUGCAGCUGAGGAUAACUGGGUGUGGGAGGUGGGGGUGUGGGAAAUUAGCCCCAGACAGCAACAUCCAUCUGACGGAGAUGAUUACAGUAGCUGUCACUGAGGCAUGCAGACCUGCCUUGCCCUGUGCUGCUGAACUAUAUUACUCUGAGUGUUGUUCCAAUGUUUAUUGAGCACCUGUAUGUACCAGGCACUGUGCUAGACUCUGCGGCUAUAAUGACUAGCAAAACCAAGCUUAUUUUCACAGUGUGGGGUUGGAUGGGUUCUCAGGCUACUGGGCCAGUCAGAAAUAAACCAUGUGAAGGUAUCAUUAUCAAUUGUGAAAAGUACUUUGAAGUCGCGAGUUCCGGAUGCCAAGAGAAUGUAAACAGGCACCUCUUAUAGGGGCUGGAGUGUCAAUGGAAGGCUCAUCUCCUCAUCUUUGGGCUUCCCUUGUGGCCCAGCUGGUAAAGAAUCUGCCUGCAGUGCAGGAGACCUAGGUUCGAUCUCUGGGUUGGGAAGAUCCCCUGAAGAAGGGAAAGGCUACCCACUCCAGAGUUCUGGCCUGGAGAAUUCCAUGGACUACAGUCCAUGGGGUUUCAACGCGGAACAGCAUUCCUGCUCUGCCUUCCCUUCCGGGGUUGCAAAGUCGGACACAACUGAGCGGCUUCUCCAUAAACCAAUGAAUCCAGGGAGGGGACCAGUGGAGAGCCAGGGCCAGUGCCUGCAGUGGAGACAGACACCUGUGGGAAGGAAGGGCCCUUUUCUGGGCUGCUAGCAGGAUUUGGCAGGUAAUGGGGGGCUGGGGAGGGGGGAGUACCAUGCCCUGGUGAACAGACUGACACCUCCAAGCUAGCUUGACUGGUCGCCAAGAGCCAUUGUCUUUGUUACCAGGCUCUGUGUCAGAAGCUGGGACGGACUGCUGGGAGCCCCCCCCAAAAUAAAAACAAUCCCAGUGCCCAGUUGGGUGUACUCUUGGGAGUUAAGAGUGGGUAGAAAAGGCCAUCAAGGUCAAAGGGAAGAGCUGUCUUAGUGCAGCAGGGUCCAACGGAAAUAUAAUGUGAGCCACACUUAUACACGUUUUUCCCUAGCUACAGUAAGAAGUGCAAAAAGAAACAGGUGAAACGAAUUUUAGCGAUGUGUUUUAUUUAACCCCAAAGUGUGCAGACUGUUAUGUUUGAACCAGUGAUCAAUAACCAAUGAGCUGUUCUGCAUUAUGUUUUCGUCCUAACCCUUCCAAAACGAGGCUGUAGCUUGCACUCGGCAUGUUUCCACUGGGACCAGCCGCGGUUCAGGCGCUCAGCAGGGGGGCGGCCGGGGCACCGGGCCGCGCGGCCCUGGGGUUCCUUAGGACCGAGCGUCGCCUCCUCUGCCUCGGCCUUCAGCGGCGGCGGCGGGGGGAGGGUGGCCCCCAGCGGGACCGCGCUCUGGGGGGCGCUGGGCCGCGUGGGGGAGCACCCUGAGGGUGCCCGGAGGAGAAACCCCCAGGACGCCGGCCCGGGCGGGGCGCGGGGGCGCGGAGCCGGCCGGGGAUCAGAAGCCCGCGGCCCCGCAUUGUCCGCCGGUCGCACU
rnacentral:lncRNA from 1 species